UCCUCCGUGGCGCAAUUGGCUAGCGCGUUCGACUGUUAACCCUGCAACCCGCGGAGUUCGGCGAUCGAGAGGUUGGUGGUUCAAGCCCACCCGGAGGAG